UGGGGAAUAUUGCACAAUGGGCGCAAGCCUGAUGCAGCCAUGCCGCGUGUAUGAAGAAGGCCUUCGGGUUGUAAAGUACUUUCAGCGGGGAGGAAGGGAGUAAAGUUAAUACCUUUGCUCAUUGACGUUACCCGCAGAAGAAGCACCGGCUAACUCCGUGCCAGCAGCCGCGGUAAUACGGAGGGUGCAAGCGUUAAUCGGAAUUACUGGGCGUAAAGCGCACGCAGGCGGUUUGUGAAGUCAGAUGUGAAAUCCCCGGGCUCAACCUGGGAACUGCAUCUGAUACUGGCAAGCUUGAGUCUCGUAGAGGGGGGUAGAAUUCCAGGUGUAGCGGUGAAAUGCGUAGAGAUCUGGAGGAAUACCGGUGGCGAAGGCGGCCCCCUGGACGAAGACUGACGCUCAGGUGCGAAAGCGUGGGGAGCAAACA
rnacentral:rRNA from 1 species